CCGCAUAUAUAGUUGUGCGUUUUUUUCGAAUUAAAAUUCAAAUUCCAAAAUGACAGUUGGUUUUUGUGUUGAAAAGGAAAAGCGCAAAAAAAUUAAAGAUUAUAUAUGGAGUAAUUCGGUAUGCACUUUAUAGCUAUAAGAAAAAUUUUUUUUUUAUUGUUAUUUAAGCGCGGCUGUUUGGCAUUCUAAUCUAUGUAAUGAAGCCACCUGAAUAGUGCAUGACUACCUGCUGAACUUAAGCAUAUCAGUAAGCAGAGGAAAAGAAACAAACAUGGAUUUCCUUAGUAACGGCGAGUGAAA
rnacentral:rRNA from 1 species